rnacentral:rRNA from 1 species
UCUCAGUUCGGAUCGAAGUCUGCAACCCGACUUCGUGAAGCUGGAUUCGCUAGUAAUCGCGGAUCAGAAUGCCGCGGUGAAUACGUUCCCGGGUCUUGUACACACCGCCCGUCACACCAUGGGAGCCGGGAAUGCCCGAAGUCAGUGGCCCAACCGAAAGGGGGGAGCUGCCGAAGGCAGGCCUGGUGACUGGGGUGAAGUCGUAACAAGGUAAC